GGGCAACCCUGAUGGUGCGACGCCGCGUGGGGGAAUGAAGGUCUUCGGAUUGUAAACCCCUGUCAUGUGGGAGCAAAUUAAAAAGAUAGUACCACAAGAGGAAGAGACGGCUAACUCUGUGCCAGCAGCCGCGGUAAUACAGAGGUCUCAAGCGUUGUUCGGAAUCACUGGGCGUAAAGCGUGCGUAGGCUGUUUCGUAAGUCGUGUGUGAAAGGCAGGGGCUCAACCCCUGGAUUGCACAUGAUACUGCGAGACUAGAGUAAUGGAGGGGGAACCGGAAUUCUCGGUGUAGCAGUGAAAUGCGUAGAUAUCGAGAGGAACACUCGUGGCGAAGGCGGGUUCCUGGACAUUAACUGACGCUGAGGCACGAAGGCCAGGGGAGCGAAAGGGAUUAGAUACCCCUGUAGUCCACGCCCUAAACGUUGUACACUAGGUAUUGGAGGAAUCAUCCCCUUCAGUGCCCCAGCUAACGCGAUAAGUGUACCGCCUGAGGACUACGACCGCAAGGUUAAAACUCAAAGAAAUUGACGGGGGCCCGCACAAGCGGUGGAGCAUGUGGCUUAAUUCGAUGCAACGCGAAGAACCUUACCUGGGUUUGACAUGUAUUUGAAUAUAUGUGAAAGCAUAUAGUCCUUCGGGACAGGUACACAGAUGCUGCAUGGCUGUCGUCAGCUCGUGUCGUGAGAUGUUCGGUUAAGUCCGGCAACGAGCGCAACCCUCGCCCUAUGUUACCAGCGGGUAAAGCCGGGGACUCUUAGGGGACAAACCUAACAUUAGGUGGGAAGGUGGGGAUGACGUCAAGUCAGUAUGGCUCUUACAUCCAGGGCUGCACACGUGCUACAAUGGCCGACACAGAGGGAUGCUACGUCGCGAGGCGAUGCGAAUCUCGAAAAUCGGUCUCAGUUCGGAUUGGAUGUCUGCAACUCGACUCCAUGAAGCCGGAAUCGCUAGUAAAGGCGUAUCAGCUACGACGCCUUGAAUACGUUCCCGGGCCUUGUACACACCGCCCGUCAAGUCAUGAAAGCCGGUUUUGCCCGAAGUUCGUGAGCUAACCCGCGAGGGGGGCAGCGGCCUAAGGCAAUGCUGGUGAUUGGGACUAAGUCGUAACAAGGUAGCCGUAGGGGAACCUGCGGCUG
rnacentral:rRNA from 1 species